rnacentral:tRNA from 1 species
GCUCCUCUAGCUUAGUUGGUAGUGCGCAAGGCUCUUAACCUUGUGGUCGUGGGUCCAAACCCCAUUGUGGGUG